AUGGGGAAGAGUUUUUCACAGCCACAAAUCCCAGAAGUUGAAGAAGUCGUUCGCUCCCUGGUAUCGAUGGACGCUCUCAACCCUCGGCAGGUCAGAGAACCUCACUCACCAGGUGGAGGUGGAGGUGGAGGUGGAGGUGACGGAGGGACGGAGGGAAGGAGGGAAGGAGGGACGGAGUCGGAGGGACGGAGGGACGGAGGGACGGAGUCGGAGGGAUGGAGGGACGGAGGGACAGAGGGAAGGAAGGAGGGACAGAGGGAAGGAGGGACGGAGGGAAGGAGGGACGGAGGGACGGAGGGACGGAGUCGGAGGGAUGGAGGGACGGAGGGACGGAGUCGGAGGGUCGGAGGGAAGGAGGGACGGAGGGAAGGAGGGACGGAGUCGGAGGGACGGAGGGACGGAGUCGGAGGGACGGAGGGAAGGAGGGACAGAGGGAAGGAGGGACAGAGGGAAGGAGGGACAGGAGGGAAGGAGGGACAGAGGGAAGGAGGGACGGAGGGAAGGAGGGACGGAGUCGGAGGGAGGAGUCGGAGGGACGGAGGGACGGAGUCGGAGGGAAGGAGGGACGGAGUCGGAGGGACGGAGGGAGGAGGGACGGAGGGAAGGAGGGACAGGAGGGAAGGAGGGACAGAGGGAAGGAGGGACGGAGUCGGAGGGAGGGACGGAGGGACGGAGGGAAGGAGGGACAGAGGGAAGGAGGGACGGAGGGAAGGAGGGACAGAGGGAAGGAGGGACGGAGGGAAGGAGGGACAGAGGGAAGGAGGGAGUCGGAGGGAAGGAGGGAAGGAGGGACGGAGGGACGGAGGGACGGAGUCGGAGGGAUGGAGGGACGGAGGGACGGAGGGUCGGAGGGAAGGAGGGACGGAGGGACAGAGGGACGGAGUCGGAGGGACGGAGGGACGGAGUCGGAGGGACGGAGGGAAGGAGGGACAGAGGGAAGGAGGGACAGAGGGAAGGAGGGACAGAGGGAAGGAGGGACAGAGGGAAGGAGGGACGGAGGGAAGGAGGGACGGAGUCGGAGGGACGGAGUCGGAGGGACGGAACGGAGUCGGAGGAAGGGACGGAGUCGGAGGGAAGGAGGGAAGGGAGGGACGGAGGGAAGGAGGGACAGAGGGAAGGAGGGACAGAGGGAAGGAGGGACGGAGUCGGAGGGAAGGAGGGACGGAGGGAAGGAGGGACAGAGGGAAGGAGGGACGGAGGGAAGGAGGGACAGAGGGAAGGAGGGACGGAGUCGGAGGGAAGGAGGGAAGGAGGGACGGAGGGAAGGAGGGACGGAGGGACGGAGGGACAGAGGGACGGAGUCGGAGGGACGGAGUCGGAGGGACGAGGGACGGAGUCGGAGGAGGGACGGAGUCGGAGGGAAGGAGGGACGGAGGGACGGAGGGAUGGAGGGACGGAGGGACGGAGGGAUGGAGGGACGGAGGGAAGGAGGGAAGGAGGGACGGAGGGAAGGAGGGACGGAGGGAUGGAGGGACGGAGGGACGGAGUCGGAGGGACGGAGGGAAGGAGGGACGGAGGGAUGGAGGGACGGAGGGACGGAGUCGGAGGGACGGAGGGAAGGAGGGACGGAGUCGGAGGGACGGAGGGACGGAGUCGGAGGGACGGAGGGAAGGAGGGACGGAGUCGGAGGGACGGAGUCGGAGGGAAGGAGGGACGGAGUCGGAGGGACGGAGGGAGGAGCGGAGGGAUGGAGGGACGGAGGGACGGAGUCGGAGGGACGGAGGGAAGGAGGGACGGAGGGAUGGAGGGACGGAGGGACGGAGUCGGAGGGACGGAGGGAAGGAGGGACGGAGUCGGAGGGACGGAGGGACGGAGUCGGAGGGACGGAGGAAGGAGGGACGGAGUCGGAGGGACGGAGUCGGAGGGAAGGAGGGACGGAGUCGGAGGGACGGAGGGACGGGCGACCUGAUUGGUUCAGACAGACGAGACGUGUGGUUCUACUGCAGAGACAAACAGUCUCUGACGGUCAGGAGGGCCGCGUCAUCGGGAGGAGUUUCCUCCGCGGGUCGACAGGAUGGAGCGGUCGUAUCGUUCUGUGGAAUCUCAGCGUUCAGGGCGGCGACGUCCUGCGGCUCGUGA
ensembl:lncRNA